UACGGAGGGUGCAAGCGUUAUUCGGAAUCACUGGGCGUAAAGGACGCGUAGGCGGGUUGGCAAGUCAGAUGUGAAAUCCUACAGCUUAACUGUAGAACUGCAUUUGAAACUGCUAACCUAGAGUAUGGGAGGGGGAGAUGGAAUUAGUGGUGUAGGGGUAAAAUCCGUAGAUAUCACUAGGAAUACCGAAAGCGAAGGCGAUCUCCUGGAACAUAACUGACGCUAAGGCGUGAAAGCGUGGGGAGCAAACAGAAUUAGAAACCCUAGUAGUCC
rnacentral:rRNA from 1 species